rnacentral:rRNA from 1 species
CAGUCAGGAGAACUUUAUCUUCGGAUAAAUAUUAAACUGGCGAACGGGUGAGUAACGCGUAGACAACCUGCCUUGGAGAUUGGGAUAACAUUGGGAAACCAGUGCUAAUACCAAAUAAUGCAGCGGGUCCUUCGGGACAUUUGUUGUUAAAGUAGGCUUCGGCUUACACUUUGAGAUAGAUUUGCGUCCGAUUAGCUUGUUGGUAGGGUAAUUGCCUACCAAGGCGAAGAUCGGUAGCUGGUCUGAGAGGAUGAUCAGCCACACUGGAAUUGAGAUACGGUCCAGACUCCUACGGGAGGCAGCAGUGAGGAAUAUUGCACAAUGGAGGAAACUCUGAUGCAGCCAUGCCGCGUGCAGGAUGACGGCCCUAUGGGUUGUAAACUGCUUUUUUACAAGAAGAAACCUUGGUACGUGUACCAACUUGACGGUAUUGUAAGAAUAAGCACCGGCUAACUCCGUGCCAGCAGCCGCGGUAAUACGGAGGGUGCAAGCGUUAUCCGGAUUUAUUAGGUUUAAAGGGUUCGCAGGCGGAAUUUUAAGUCAGUGGUGAAAGCCUACAGCUCAACUGUAGAACUGCCAUUGAAACUGAUAUUCUUGAGUAUAGAUGAAGUGGGCGGAAUAUGUCAUGUAGCGGUGAAAUGCAUAGAUAUGACAUGGAACACCAAUUGCGAAGGCAGCUCACUAAACUAUUACUGACGCUCAUGAACGAAAGCGUGGGGAGCGAACAGGAUUA